rnacentral:lncRNA from 1 species
UGGGCGCCAUCUGCAACGGCAUUGCACUGCACACACCAGGGCUCAUUCCAUACUGUGCAACUUUCUUUGUUUUCACUGACUACAUGAGAGGUGCCAUGAGGAUCUCAGCCUUGUCUGAAGCUGGAGUUAUCUAUGUCAUGACCCAUGACUCCAUUGGUCUGGGUGAAGAUGGUCCGACCCAUCAACCCAUUGAGCACUUGGUGAGCUUCCGCGCAAUGCCUAACAUGCUGAUGUUCCGUCCUGCUGAUGGCAAGGAGACUGCUGGGGCAUACAAGGUGGCGGUCCUCAACAGGAAGAGGCCAUCCAUUCUGGCUCUCUCAAGGCAAAAGCUUCCUCAUCUGCCUGGUACCUCAAUUGAGGGUGUUGCGAAGGGUGGAUACAC